rnacentral:rRNA from 1 species
GAGUAAAAUCCAUGAGUAACGCAGCUAANCGCGUGAAGUAGACCGCCUGGGGAGUACGGUCGCAAGAUUAAAACUCAAAUGAAUUGACGGGGGCCCGCACAAGCGGUGGAUUAUGUGGAUUAAUUCGAUGCAACGCGAAAAACCUUACCUGGCCUUGACAUGUACCGAAUUUAGCAGAGAUGCUUUAGUGCUCGAAAGAGAACGGUAACACAGGUGCUGCAUGGCUGUCGUCAGCUCGUGUCGUGAGAUGUUGGGUUAAGUCCCGCAACGAGCGCAACCCUUGCCAUUAAUUGCCAUCAUUUAGUUGGGCACUUUAAUGGGACUGCCGGUGACAAACCGGAGGAAGGUGGGGAUGACGUCAAGUCCUCAUGGCCCUUAUGGCCAGGGCUUCACACGUAAUACAAUGGUCGGUACAGAGGGAAGCCAACCCGCGAGGGGGAGCCAAUCUCAGAAAGCCGGUCGUAGUCCGGAUUGUUGUCUGCAACUCGACAGCAUGAAGUCGGAAUCGCUAGUAAUCGCGGAUCAGCAUGUCGCGGUGAAUACGUUCCCGGGCCUUGUACACACCGCCCGUCACACCAUGGGAGUGGGUUUUACCAGAAGUAGUUAGUCUAUCCGCAAGGGGGACGAUUACCACGGUAGGAUUCAUGACUGGGGUGAAGUCGUAACAAG